UAUCUCUUAGACCUGGGCUGUUUCCUGAGGUGGAGUACUGCAUAGACUGAGGUCUUCAUGAGUUAGCUGCCGUAGAAGUGGAAUGAAGUUACCAUAAACUCCUUGUCUAUUGUGGCAGACUUUAGAAAAAUUUAAUCCUGUUCUCAUGUCUGAUCUUAACUGUAUUUCUACUUCUUCAUAAUCUGAGGGACAGAAGUAUGCUGAAAUCUAAGGUAGUAAUCUCUGAAGCUCUUCAACAAAGGUUUUGUUUUGUGCCCAGACCGAGCGUGGAUUGAUAAUGUAUGCUAGUAAGAAUCGCUUGUGAUGUAACACCAGUUCCUGAAGUCAGAGUGAGAAGCAUUAGCACAAGCAGUGGCAUUUCUUUGUUUGGCUGAAAAGAAGGACUGAAGCUGUUCCGGGAUUUCAUCAUACCUUCUGGAAACCAAGUGUAUUCUGUGAAGUCUGAUAAAAAGAAACUGACACCUGUUAGGCCAUGAAGCACAAGCAGUAUCAGAAGAAAAUUCCAAAGUAGCCAUGCAAAGUAGCCAUGAGUAUUUUGUCCUGAACUGACUAACACUCAAAUGUUAUCUGAAUGUUGGAAGAAACCAUUUAAAAGAAAAAUCUUUACAAGCAAUUAUGCAUGCUGAUGCAAUCUACAUAGCAUACAGAAGAUUAUGAUCAUUACUGCCAGUGAGUUGGCAUAUGAUGAUUGUGAAUUUCUGCCACCCAGAUCAUGAGCAGCGCAUGAUGGUAUUUAGAUUUUGGGAUAAUUGAUUGUUAUUCAGGUCGUUAUAUACCAGCUUCAAGCACAGCUAAUUCCCUCAGAAUUCUUUCAUAAAUGGAUGCACCUGAGGAAGAGUCUGAAGAAGGAAGUAUGCUCAGAAGACAGAAUUGGUCCAGCUAUUGGAAGAUAAUAUGUGGCUGUGGCACAGGCCCUGAUAUGUGACAGGCCCUGAAUAGAGAGAAGAAACUUGUGAAAAACUAACUUCAGAGGAGUAACACUGAUUUAACUGGGAGGGGAAGGAUGUUUUUAAUAUGGGAUUUUCACAAUAGUUGUGCCUGCAUAUGUAUUGAUACGGACAUAAACAAGCGUAACUCCAGUAUGCAGAGAUUGCUUAUGUCAGCCUGCUUCUUUGUCUCUUGUCUCAUUUUUAUCCUGAUUCAGAAUUUGUCACUUUCUUCUUUCUGAAUCCAUACAUCUUGACUUCUCAGGAUACACAGUUCAGCUUCAUUUUUCUUAUUCUAACUAACACAAGGUACUAGCAGCAUGCAUUUUUUAUGAAAUAAUGUUGGAUCAGAUUUUGUUUCAAGUUGGCAAAUAUGGAUGUCAACACAAACACAUAAAAUAUGCUUAAUAUUUUUGAAUGUGUAAAAUUAUUUCCUCCUGGUUUACUACAGUUCAGCCAACAAUCAAGUUUAACACACAAGUAAUUAAAGAAAUAGUAAUAUCUCACCAUUUAAUGAUAUGAGCCACUUUAAUUGUUAUUAAUACAUAAUUAAAAUCUGUCUUUAAGGUGAUACUUGAUCACACUUGAAAACUGCUAUGGACACUUGAAACUCAAAUUGAUGCACCAGUACACCAAUGCUUUUGUUUAGCUGAUGGUUAGUUUAUCACAUUUAAUUUACCCCUUUGCUGAAGAUAUUGCUACUAGGAUAGGUGCGUUUAAUAGCUUUCUUGAUUCGUAGCUUAGUAUUUAUGUCUUUUGAGAAGUAUAGUUUGGGGAGUGUGUGAUGACUUUCUGUAUAGUAGAAGCAAGAAGUUGGCGUUAACUAUAUAGUUCAAUGCUGAAAAGAGGGGGGAAAAGAAAUACAAAUCAGACAAAUGUAGUACGUGACUUUUCUUUAUGUGCAUGAGAAAUGGAAAAGAGCUGUAUGGAGAAAGUAGAUGGAGUGGUAAAUCAAUUUUCUGUUCUCAGAAACAGAAUAAUAUCAGAGUAGUAUUAUUACUAGAAGAUCAGGAAGAAACAAUCUUUUUACUACUUUAACAAACUAUAUUAAUUCUGAUUUUAUGAUUCUAAUUGGCAGCACAGCACAAUCCAUAUCUAGCGAUAACAACAAUAAGUGUAUCUAUAUUCAGUUUAUCAAUUUUAUCUGUACAUUUUGAAAGCAAUACUUUUAGCAAAAAUGGAGGUGUGAAGUGUGAAUGGAAGUAUGUUUCCUUAGUCAAGCUGUUUGUUAAAAUAUCUCUAAAAAUGGUUCUUUAGAAGAGCUUCAUAAACACGAUAUGCUUUGCUGAAUGCGUAUAUUGAUGUAGUUAGUAAUAUUUCCAAAUGCAAAUACUCAUGUCAUUAGUAACGUUCUCUCCAGAGACCCCUGGAAAAAUUAAGAGAGUAAUUAGAUUUUUUUCUUUAAAACAAAACAAAAAGAAAACCUUCAUCGAAUUGUCCACCAAUGUUGAAAGUUAUGAGAUACCACAUACCUUCCUAUACCUUAAUUUCAUCUACCUUGAAAUCCCAUUUUAAAUCCUUUUCAUACUUCUGUCCCUUACAUAAGAGGAAAAAUUGAAAUUCAAAGGAAGAUAUAACACCAGUGAUAUAUGUGAAAAGCACUUCUCUUGAAAUUUCUGUUCACCUGAAGCAAUCAACUAUAUCUGGUGACUAGUCUGUAUGUUUCUUUAGAUUUUGGUCUGACGUUACAAGUAUGAGACCCUUCUGAGACGUCUUCCAAAGGAAAAGAUCCUGUUUGCCAGAUAUACAUGACUACAUGAAAGUAUGUUACAUAUAGGCUGGAGUAUAAAGCAGUUAGAAUACAUCUGAGAUCCUAAAUCAUAAACAUUCCUACACAGGAAAAGAUUGACUGUGGGAACUGCAUCAGCACAGUCUUCUGUUCCAAUCAACAAAGAUGGAAGGCUGAAUGAAGUGCUCUGAAACUCAUUAAUACAUGUGUAUAUGUACAUAUGUAUCCCCAGUUUUUUCUUAUAUUUUACAUAUUGAUCUUGCUAUUCACAUUUUUUUUUUCAGAGAACCUAAAAAGAUACCAUGACUUAUAGAAGCCUGACUGUUAAGACUGAAUUACAGAUACUCAUACAAUUGAAAACAAAUAAGCAAAGAAAAUCUAGUUAACAAAGCUUCUAUUUCAUUUAAUCUUUCUUUUCUGACCUGUGAUGGUAGUAUGUCAUAAAUGUUCUAGAUGAAAGUUUGUUUCGGGCAAUAAAAUACCCGUGAAUUACUGUUAAGUCUUUAUGUAGAAAACAAAUCCUAGGCUGACUGACUUGUACAGUUUAUGAUUCAGUCAUAGCUGCUAGAGCUUGGAGCAGAGUGUAUAUUCUAAAAAUGUCAUGUUAUCAGUGGAUUGUCAAGUCAUUUCUGAUUUAGCCCCUGGCUCUAACCAGACUGUCCUGUUUUCUAAGAUAGUAAUAAAAAGAUAAGCCCUGGGAGUUAGAGAAAAAAACAGCCCAUUUGCAUUCAGAUGAGUGAUUUUUUUUUUUUUUUUUUUUUUUCUU